ACAUGGAGGUUUCCAGGCUAGGAGUCCAAAUGGAACUGUAGCUGCCGGCCUACACCAGAGCCACAGCAACAUGAGAUCUGAGCCAUGUGUGCUGCCUACACUACAGCUCACAGCAAUGCCAGAUCCUUAACCCACUGAGCGAGGCCAGGGAUGGAAUCCACAUCCUCAUGGAUGCUAGUCGGGUUCAUCAGCCACUGAGCCAGGACGAGAACUCCAUGUUUGGGUACAUUUUCAAAUCUAAAAAUUUAAAACUGUUAAACAUUCACAUGUAUUUCUUAUGCUGUGUUUACAAUGCAAUACUAAACAAAAACAUAACUAAACUAUAUUUUCCAAAUUUUUAUAAUAAUUAGAAAAUGAUUAUAAAUAAUUAAUUUCAUGGGCAAAUCUCAGAGUAUAUCUGACAAAUUUGGUCUACAGUUAAUUCUAACUUAGCAUACCAUAACCAGGAGUGGGGAAAUGCAUCUCACAUUCUUCUAAACCUCAGCCACAGUUGAAUAACUGACAUCCAUAUACUUUUCAAGCAAGUGAGUAUUCUUUAAAAGCAAUUUUUUUAAAGGAUAGGAAAAUGUUAUCUCUUUUGCACAAGCAUCUUUUCCUCUGUUGAUUUUCGUAUUUCCCCCCUUUGUUUGCAAAUUUCCAAGGCUGGGGAACAAAGUUGGCAUUUAUAUCCUGAAGUUUUCCCUGGAUCAGAUCAAAAGGCAUGUGAAUUCUAUAUUUUGAGGAAUAAAAGAAUACAGAGGGUAGUCAAUAUCAGGCAAAGAUAUGUAGAAGGGUAUCAAAAUGUCAGCUUUCUUCCUCAUGAAGUAUAAAUGAGUCACUAAAAUAUUCCUCACUUUACUUCAGGUUAACUGGGGUUUAGUUUAUGGAAAGCUAAAAGUAAAAACACUUCCUGCAAAUUAAUUUUCUUGGUGAAGACUGAUAAUGUGCAAGAAAUAGAUCUUGCCAUUUGAUUCAGGGUCCCAGAGAACUAUGGCCAUGAUUUUUUUUCUACUUAGUGUAUAAUUUAACUUGAUAAUUUGUAAAUGAGGGCCCUAAAUAUGUUACAUUAAAUUGGCAGGUACUAGGUAUGGAAGAGAAUAAAGUACGAGAUGGAGGAAUCUGGUUAGCUGAACUGUAUUUGUUGCCCAGUACAAUAAAAUAAUACAAUGAUACAACAAUAACUUCUUCAUCCAAUAAUAAUUUCAAUGAUACAAUAAAAAUUUCUUUUUCUUGGCUUUUUCUUGAUUGUGCUAGGGUAACUGGAAGGCGAGUGGCUAUAAUAAUCAAGCAGAUAACAGGAAAAAUGCUUGGAAAAAAAUUUCCAAAGGUAUUAUAGGGCUCUGGAAACACGAUUUUAAUAGCCUGUGUGGCUCUAGAGGCAAAAAGAUGUUACCACUUUUCAAAAAGAAAAAACAAAAUGAAUAUUCUAGUUCUUAGAAGAAAGUGCUAGAAGUAAUCAUUAAAAGAAAACCCUUCAAAAACCCAUAACCCACUUUUCUACUUUCCAUCAAUAUUGCCCCCAAAUAUAAAAAUAAGAGUAUUAUAAAAAUAACUAUAACUGUGAAGCUAUUAAGGAUAGCUGAACUGACACAUCAGAAUGUUUUUCUUAUUUCUCUAAAAAUAAAACUUAAGAGAGUUCCCAUUGUGGUGCAGUGGAAAUGAACCCAACUAGUAUCCAUGAGGACUCAGGUUUGAUCCCUGGCCUUGCUUAGUGGGUUAAGGAUCUGGCAUUGCCAUGAGCUGUGGUGUAGAUUGCAGAUGCAUCUUGGAUCACGCAUUUCUGUGACUGUGGCAUAUGCUGGAAGCUAUAGCUCCAAAUUGACCCCUAGCCUGUGAACUUCCAUAUGCUGUGGGUGUGACCCUAAAAAAGCAAAAAAUAAGAAUAAAUAAAUAAAUAAAACUUGAAUAUUGAAUACCCAUGUAUUUGUUACCCAACUUUAUCAAAUCUCAAUAUUUCCCUAUUUGUUUUAGAUUUUUAAAUUAAUGGAGUGAAACAUUUGAAGGUUCCUGUGUCUCCACUUCCACCUUCCCAAAAUAACAUGAUCUUGAUCUUGAUUUUCAUCAUUUCCCAGAAAUUCUUCAUAAUUUUAUAAAUAACUAUCCACAAACAACUUCUUAUUUGUCAUGUUUCUAAACUUUACAUAAAUUGCUAAAUAAUGUAACACCACAAAAACCAAUCUAUCCAUUCACCUACCAAUAUUUAGGUGAAUAUUAGAAUAUUUAGGUCAUUUCCAAAUUUAUGCUUUUAUAAAAGAUGUUGCUUCUAUGAUAUUUAUCUAGAAGUGAGAUUUCUGUGUGCUAGGUGAGCAUCUUGAAGCUUAUUUGAUAUUGACAAGUUGUCCUAGAAAAUAAUGACCAAUUUACAUUCUAUGAGGAGUCUAUAGGAGUUCCAUUUUCUACAUACUACCACAAAACUCAGAGUUAACAGAUUUUAAACUUUCAUCAGUGGCACAGGUGACUUUCUAUAGUUUUAAUUUUUUUUCUUUAAUAACAGUAAAUUUAAACUUUUCCUACAUUUAUUGGUCACUGGGCUUUCUAUACUAGAAAUUGGCUGUCAUUUUUAUAUAGGAUUAUUUGUUUUUUAAAAACUUAUCUGUAAAAAGAAUAUAUGUAUUUGUCUAUCUGUUGCAAAUACCUUAGUUCAGGGCUUGUCUUUUCUUCUUUGUGUUAUCUUUGAUACACAGAUGUUACUAUGGGGAAACUGAUCUCUUUUUGUUUUGUGCUUUUAGGGUCUUAUUUAGAAAAUUGUUCCCUCACAUGGGAUUUAAAAAAACUUCUACAUUUUCUUCUUACAGUUUCAAAAUUAUGGUUGAAAAUAUUUAGGCUCUUAGUUGUCCUAGAAUUUAUUUUUUGCUCAUGUGAGAUGAAAUUUUAAUUUUAUUUAGAUUAAUGUUUUCCCACUAAAUUCUCUUUUCUCUGAUUCUUGGGAUGUUGCUACGGAUUUUUUUUUUUUUUUAACAUUGUACUUCUAUUUUGUUCCCUUGGUCAAAUAAGGCAAGUUACUCCCAUAUUGUUCUUCCUCAAAUUGAUUAUUUUAAGUCUAUUAUAUACAGAUUUAGCAUUAGAUUGUUAACUUAUAGAAAAAAUUAUCUUGGUAUUUCUAUUGGAAUUAAAUGUCAUAUGUGAAUGAAUCUGCAGAAACUGACAUUUUUAUGUUAUUUAGUCUUUCCAUCCAUGAACAUUGUAUAUCCCUUCAUUUUUUGGACUUUUUAAUGCUGUUUAAUAAUGCUUGAUAGUUUUCUGUAUAAAGGCUUUUCACAUAUUCUGUUAGAGUUAUUCCUGAGUACUUUAUAUUUUUUGUACAUAUUCUAAAUGGGAUUAUCUCAUAAAUAUUAUGUUUUUCAAUUGUUUAUUGUGAGCACAUAUAUAAUAUUGUUAUUGUGUUUUGUAUGCUCAUCUUGAGAAGAAAGCUUUUAAGGCUAACUUAAAAUAUUUACUAGCACAAGUUUUUAUUAAAUAAUAAAUUUGGCAUUCAUUCUAAUUCAGCUAAAAUAAUGGUUUUAUGGAGAUGAGUUAAUAAUCACAUGCACUGACAUGCUAAAACAUUAUAGACCUUUUGUUUUAAGAUCAUUAAAUUAUAUUGGACCCAGUUUGUUAACACUUAAUGACCCCAUCUAGUGGCCAGUUGAAAUUGUAAGUGAAUUAGAAAAUACACAUAUAGAUCUUAUUGGAUAGCUAUUUUUGUUUAAAGAAUUAUGGUAGCAACAAUAUCUUUCUUGGAAAUGUCAAGAAACAGCAAUGAUUAAGUUGACAAUCAAAAUUAUGUUUGAGGGUUGUGUUACUGAUUUCAAGAUCAGAAUGAGGUAUUCUUACAGAGAAAAUUAUGUAAAACCUCCCAUGCUGGAGCCAAAUUACAUACUGGAGAUUUAAUUUUCAGAAUUGUCAUUCAGGGAGUUAUCAUAGGUCAUGUUCACAUAAUAUUUUAAAAAUAACAUAACCAACAGCUGGCUGGAGUCAAUGCCUAUGACCUUUAUAAUAACAUGAUACUCAGAGUCUAACCUAUUAGAGGACUAUUUCACAAUUAAAUACCCUUUAAAAUGAGGCCUAGUUUUAUAUUUCACUAGUUAAAAUUUUUACUUUGUGUAGCAAAUAACAAAAUUUUUUGCAUAAUUGUACCCAAUUUCAGAAAACGUUGGAACAACUUGCUAAUCACUAAAAAAAGUAUUUUUAACUUAAAAAUGAAUUCAAGAUGUAUUUAAAAUGUAAAUGUACACAAUAAGAUUUUUAUUUUAUUUUAUUUUAUUUUAUUUAUCUUUCUUUUUAGGGCUGCACCCACGGCAUACGGAGGUUCCCAGGAUAGGGUUCAAAUAGGAGAUACGGCUGCCGGCCAAUGCCACAGCCACUGCAACUCAGGAUCCAAGCCAUGUCUGUGACCUACACCAUACUUCACAGCAAUGCCAGGGAUCGAGCCCACAUCCUCAUGGAUACUAGUCAGAAUAGUUUCUGCUGCACCACAGUGGGAACUCCCACAAAAAGAUUUUAAAAAUGGGAAAUUAAAAUACUUGCAAAAGUUAUUUGUGAAGUGGGGAAGACCUAUCUAAUGAUAGAAUCUAUAAGGGUAAAAAAUUAAAAUAUUUUAUAAAACAAUAAAAAAUUAAAGUAAAACAACACUGUCAUGUCUUUGCUAAAGUUUAAAAAAAUGAUGAUUCCCUGUGUUACGCUAAAGGCGAAGACAUCACAAAUAGGCUUACUUGUAUUGCUAGUGGAGAGUAUAUUUAAAAUAAAUGUUCUUAAGGAAAACUUGGCAAUGCUAUCAAAAGCCUUAAAAUAUGUUUAGCCUUUGCCCCAGAAAUUACACUAUUCAGAAUAAUUAUAGGCAUGUAACAGAGCAAAGAUUGUAAGAAUAUCCUUCAUAGCACCAUUUAAAAUAUUUUAAAAUUAUAAAAAAGUAAUUGUCCAUCAGUAGGUGAAUUGGGAAAUUAAUUAGAGGAUAUAUUUACAGUAGAAUUUUAUAUUACUAUUACCCUAAUGUUAUAGAGUAAUAUUUGAAAAGAUUUAAAAUAUUUUUACAUAUUUAAUUAUGUAAUUAAGUAGAAAGAUAUUCUCAGAACAGUAUUAAAUGACGAGCAGAGAAUUACUUGUUAUUUUUUGUUUUUACAAAAUUUGUUUUUGUUCUUAUGCAAAAAAACAAAAUUUAAGCACUCAGCAGGGGUUAUUUUCUGAAUUGUGGUGUGUCCUCCAAAGGUAUACAUUGAAACCUUUAACUUCCAAUGCAGUAUUUGAAGAUGAGAUCUUUGGGAGGUAAUUAAAUUUAGAUUAGGUCAUAAGGUAGGCCUUCAUGAUGGGUUAGUGCCUUUAUAAGAAGAGACAUCAGAAAGUUUGCUUUCUCUCUCUCUCUCUACUAUGUGAAGACUUAAACAGAAGGCAGUUAUCCACAAGCCAGGAAGAGAGGUCUCACCAGGAACCAAAUUGGCCAGCACCUUGAUCUGGAACUUCUAGUCUCCAGAACUAUGAGAAAAUACAUUUCUGUUGUUUAAGUCCCCCAGUCUUUGACAUACUGUUCUGGCAACCUGAGCAGACUAAAUCACACAAGGCAAGAAGGUUUCUUUUU
rnacentral:lncRNA from 1 species